GUGCUCACUUUGGUAGCAGAUAUAUUAAAAUUGGAAUGAUGCAGAGAAUGUUAACAUGGCCCCUGCACAAGAAUGGCUACACAUUCUGAAGCAUUCCAUAAUUUU
ensembl:snRNA U6 U6 spliceosomal RNA